GAUGAACGCUGGCGGCGUGCCUAAUACAUGCAAGUCGAGCGAAGGAUGUAGCGAUAUAUCCUUAGCGGCGAACGGGUGAGUAACGCGUUGGUGACCUGCCUCGAAGCGUGGGAUAACAGUUCGAAAGGAUUGCUAAUACCGCAUGUGGUCAUAGAGAUUAGAGGCUCGAUGACUGAAGGAGAAAUUCACUUCGAGAGGGGCCUGCGUCCCAUCAGCUAGUUGGUAAGGUAACGGCUUACCAAGGCGAUGACGGGUAGGGGACCUGAGAGGGUGGCCCCCCACAAUGGAACUGAAACACGGUCCAUACACCUACGGGUGGCAG
rnacentral:rRNA from 1 species